UACGUAGGGUGCAAGCGUUGUCCGGAAUUAUUGGGCGUAAAGAGCUCGUAGGCGGUCUGUCGCGUCUGCUGUGAAAACUCAGGGCUUAACCCUGAGCUUGCAGUGGGUACGGGCAGACUAGAGUGCGGUAGGGGAGACUGGAAUUCCUGGUGUAGCGGUGAAAUGACGCAGAUAUCAGGAGGAACACCGGUGGCGAAGGCGGCGCCCUGGCUCGCACCUGACGCUCGAGACACGGACAGCAUGGGGAGCGAACGGG
rnacentral:rRNA from 1 species